UUAAUCCUGACCUGGCCAAGAUGGAGCCCCUGCAAGCCCCUGCCAGGAUGUCCCUACUGGUGGCAGAAAACUGAAGACCAUACGGCCAGAGUAAGGCAGGGAAAUCCAGCGUGCCAGGCACGGAGCUGGGAGCUCGCAAUCUGCUGGAUCUCACCACUUCUGUUGCUUCCAUCGGAUCCUGAAGAAUCCUGAGACUCUCCCAGCAAAAUAGGAUCACCUUAUUCCUGAAGGAUUCUUUGCCUGUUCCUCAGUGACUGUAUCGAGGACUUGCUCUGUGCUGGGGAUGCACGGAGAGCAGAACCAGGGAAUAAUGGAAUGCCCGUGAGCAGUUUGAAAGAAGGAGGUGUCCUGCUCAUGUCCGUGUUUGGACAAGAUGCUCCUGGCUGCUGAGAAGAGACCAAAUAGGAAGGACACGGCAAGGAAGAGAAGGCCAGUGAGCAGGGGACCGCAGGCUCCCAGAUGGCAUGGCCCCACAUAUCAGUUGAUGGAACUUAGGCUCAGUGUCUUGCCAAAGAAGUAACCAGCCAAGGCCACACAACCGACUACCCAAUUCACAGGAUGGGUCAGAAGCUGGAUGGGUCUGAUGCGGUUGCUCCAUGCUGCCUCCCAGUGUCUUGCAGAGCCUGCUGCGAUGCUCUCCCUGGAGGUAUCCAGGUAACCAGAACCCAACCCUGGGGGCUUCUUCUUCCUAAAACUCUGCAAACUUCCUCUCUCCUGGGAUCCAUGAUCUGACAGCACCAAUGUCCUAGUGCUCAGGAAUGCUGCUCCUUCGGAACUUAAGGAGCCUGUGACACAGGCUGGAGGAAAGAAUCCCAAAGAGAGGGGUGAGAGAUUGGGCUUUGGGCUCUGCUAGUAAUCAACCCACUGCACCUCCUGGGCCUCUGUUUUCUCAACUGAGCUAUGAGAAGAAUGCAUGGGAAUCUACAGGAGCCCUUGCAGUUCAAAGGCACGCUCAGGCUUGGCCCUGCACCUGCUGGGGCUCUCAGCAAGAUUCCAGGUGUGAAAGAGUCUGGAUUCCCGUUAUUCAUUGCUGGUGACAGCCACCCCAAAACACAGUGGCUUGAGCAACAGCAAUUUACUACUUCUCACAAUUCUGGGGAUUUAUUGUGUGGUUCCUCUGCUGAUUUCACCUGUGAGGCUGUUAUUGCUGGAGGGUUCACUGGGCUGGAAGGUCCAAGAUGGCCCCACUCCCUUGUCCGAUGGUUGGUGCUGGCUUCAGCUGGAUACCCUGAUUCUCUUCUUCUACCAGGAUGAGAGAUAUGACAGCUCAUCCUCCACUUGACCUGAUCAGCUUUCUUACAUGCGGUCUUGGUGUUCCAAGGCGGCAAGGGCAGAAGCUACACCAUCUCUUAAGGCUCUUGUGCCGAAACCCACCCACAAUAGCCCUUCUGCUACAUUCUACUGGUCGAUGAAAGUCACAAACAGUCCAGAUGCAAUGGGUGAAGAAGUAGAUUCUGCCUCUGAAAGGGGGAAAUGACAAAGUCAUGUUACAAAGGAACCUAUACCCUAUACCCUGAGAUGAGAGGAAUUUGUGGCCACUGGACAAUUUAUCACAGACUGUUAGAAAGGUGCCAUCCUCAGGGAUAACUUCAAAUUAACUUACACCAGGAGAUGGCAAACUUCUUCUACAAAAAGCCAGAUAGUACUUAUUUUAAGCUUUAUGUACCAUAUGGUCUGUCACACUACUUCAUGCUGCCCUUGUAGCUCAAAAGCAGCCAAGGACAAUAUGCAAACAAGAGUAUGGCUGUGUUUCAAUAAAACUUUAUUUACAAAGA